CGUGUAGGCGGUUUUAUAAGUCUGAUGUGAAAGCCCUGGGCUCAACCUGGGAAGUGCAUUGGAUACUGUAAGACUUGAAUACGGGAGAGGGGAGUGGAAUUCCUGGUGUAGGAGUGAAAUCCGUAGAUAUCAGGAGGAACACCGGUGGCGAAGGCGGCUCCCUGGACCGAUAUUGACGCUGAGACGCGAAAGCGUGGGUAGCAAACA
rnacentral:rRNA from 1 species